AGUGGACGCUGGCGGUAGGCCUAACACAUGCAAGUCGAACGGCAGCACAGUAAGAGCUGGCUCUUACGGGUGGCGAGUGGCGGACGGGUGAGGAAUACAUCGGAAUCUACUUUUUCGUGGGGGAUAACGUAGGGAAACUUACGCUAAUACCGCAUACGACCUACGGGUGAAAGCAGGGGAUCUUCGGACCUUGCGCGAUUGAAUGAGCCGAUGUCGGAUUAGCUAGUUGGCGGGGUAAAGGCCCACCAAGGCGACGAUCCGUAGCUGGUCUGAGAGGAUGAUCAGCCACACUGGAACUGAGACACGGUCCAGGCUCCUACGGGAGGCAGCAGUGGGGAAUAUUGGACAAUGGGCGCAAGCCUGAUCCAGCCAUACCGCGUGGGUGAAGAAGGCCUUCGGGUUGUAAAGCCAUUUUGUUGGGAAAGAAAAGCAGCAGGUUAAUACCCCGCUGUUCUGACGGUACCCAAAGAAUAAGCACCGGCUAACUUCGUG
rnacentral:rRNA from 1 species